rnacentral:rRNA from 1 species
GAUGAACGCUGGCGGCGUGCCUAAUACAUGCAAGUCGAGCGAACGGACGAGAAGCUUGCUUCUCUGAUGUUAGCGGCGGACGGGUGAGUAACACGUGGAUAACCUACCUAUAAGACUGGGAUAACUUCGGGAAACCGGAGCUAAUACCGGAUAAUAUUUUGAACCGCAUGGUUCAAAAGUGAAAGACGGUUUUGCUGUCACUUAUAGAUGGAUCCGCGCUGCAUUAGCUAGUUGGUAAGGUAACGGCUUACCAAGGCAACGAUGCAUAGCCGACCUGAGAGGGUGAUCGGCCACACUGGAACUGAGACACGGUCCAGACUCCUACGGGAGGCAGCAGUAGGGAAUCUUCCGCAAUGGGCGAAAGCCUGGCGGAGCAACGCCGCGUGAGUGAUGAAGGUCUUCGGAUCGUAAAACUCUGUUAUUAGGGAAGAACAUAUGUGUAAGUAACUGUGCACAUCUUGACGGUACCUAAUCAGAAAGCCACGGCUAACUACGUG